rnacentral:rRNA from 1 species
CCUACGGGCGGCAGCAGUGAGGAAUAUUCGUCAAUGGACGAGAGUCUGAACCAGCCAAGCAGCGUGAAGGAUGACUGCCCUAUGGGUUGUAAACUUCUUUUAUAUGGGAAUACAAUGUUACACGUGUGGGAUUUUGUAUGUACCAUAUGUAUUAGGAUCGGCAAACCUCGUGCCAGGAGCCGCGGUAAUACGGAGGAUCCGAACGUUGCCCGGAUUUAUUGGGUUUAAAGGGAGCGUUAGUGGGUUGUUAAGUCAGUUGUGAAAGUUUGCGGCUCAACCGUAAGAUUGCAGUUGAUACUAGCAGUCUUGAGUACAGUAGAGGUGAGCGGAAUUCGUGGUGUAGCGGUGAAAUGCUUAGAUAUAACGAAGAACUCCGAUUGCGAAGGCAGCUCACUGGACUGCAACUGACACUGAGGGUCGAAAGUGUGGGUAUCAAACAGGAUUAGAUACCCCUGUAGUC